rnacentral:rRNA from 1 species
UAUAUUUAUUUUUAAUUAAUAUUAUUUAUAAAAUAAAAAUUGAAAUUAAUAAAAAUAUUUUAUUGGGGUGAUAAAAAAAUAAAAAUAACUUUUUUUAUUUAAUAACAUAAAUAAAUGAAUUAAUGAUCCAAUAUUAUUGAUUAAAAGAAAAA